UCCUACGGGAGGCAGCAGCUAAGAAUCUUCCGCAAUGGACGAAAGUCUGACGGAGCGACGCCGCGUGAAUGAUGAAGGCCGAGAGGUUGUAAAGUUCUUUUCCUGGUGAGGAAUAAGGAGAAUAGGAAAUGAUUCUCCGAUGACGUUAGCCAGGGAAUAAGCCCCGGCUAAUUACGUGCCAGCAGCCGCGGUAACACGUAAGGGGCAAGCGUUGUUCGGAAUUAUUGGGCGUAAAGGGUGCGUAGGCGGAUUAGCAAGCCUGAUGUGAAAGACCACAGCUUAACUGUGGGAACGCGUUGGGAACUGCUAGUCUUGAAUAGUUGAGGGGUAACCGGAAUUCCUAGUGUAGGGGUGAAAUCUGUAGAUAUUAGGAAGAACACCAAUGGCGAAGGCAGGUUACUGGCAACUUAUUGACGCUAAGGCACGAAAGCGUGGGGAGCGAACAGGAUUAGAUACCCUGGUAGUCCACGCCGUAAACGUUCUGCACUGGAUGUCUGGCAUAAGCUGGGUGUCGUAGCUAACGCGUUAAGUGCAGCGCCUGGGGAGUAUGCUCGCAAGGGUGAAACUCAAAUGAAUUGACGG
rnacentral:rRNA from 1 species